rnacentral:rRNA from 1 species
CAAUAUCAAUAAGCGGAGGAAAAGAAACCAACAGGGAUUGCCCCAGUAACGGCGAAGUGAAGCGGCAAGAGCUCAAAUUUGAAAGCUGGCCCCCUCGGGGUCCGCAUUGUAAUUUGCAGAGGAUGCUUCGGGAGCGGUCCCCAUCUAAGUACCCUGGAACGGGUCGUCAUAGAGGGUGAGAAUCCCGUAUGGGAUGGGGUGUCCGCGCCCGUGUGAAGCUCCUUCGACGAGUCGAGUUGUUUGGGAAUGCAGCUCUAAAUGGGUGGUAAAUUUCAUCUAAAGCUAAAUAUUGGCCGGAGACCGAUAGCGCACAAGUAGAGUGAUCGAAAGAUGAAAAGCACUUUGAAAAGAGAGUUAAAAAGCACGUGAAAUUGUUGAAAGGGAAGCGCUUGCGACCAGACUCGCCCACGGGGUUCAGCCGGCAUUCGUGCCGGUGUACUUCCCCGCGGGCGGGCCAGCGUCGGUUUGGGCGGCCGGUCAAAGGCCCUCGGAAUGUAACGCCCCUCGGGGCGUCUUAUAGCCGAGGGUGCCAUGCGGCCUGCCCGGACCGAGGAACGCGCUUCGGCUCGGACGCUGGCAUAAUGGUCGUAAGCGACCCGUCUUGAAACACGGACCAAGGAGUCUAACAUCUACGCGAGUGUUCGGGUGUCAAACCCGUGCGCGCAGUGAAAGCGAACGGAGGUGGGAACCCUCACGGGUGCACCAUCGACCGAUCCUGAUGUCUUCGGAUGGAUUUGAGUAAGAGCGUAGCUGUUGGGACCCGAAAGAUGGUGAACUAUGCCUGAAUAGGGCGAAGCCAGAGGAAACUCUGGUGGAGGCUCGCAGCGGUUCUGACGUGCAAAUCGAUCGUCAAAUUUGGGUAUAGGGGCGAAAGACUAAUCGAACCAUCUAGUAGCUGGUCUGC